GGCGCGCGUGCGGAGGCGGUGGCGUCGGCGGCGCCGUCGGCGGCGCCUGGGGCCUGAGGAGGCGUCGUCCCCUCAGGCUUCGCCUGGGGAGCGCCUCGGGGCGGUGCGCCUCCCGCGGCUCAGGGACUGCUGCGGACCGGGGCCGGAUGUGACCUUCUCCUGCCUGGAAUAGCUCAAGUUCUUAGAAGUUUCAAUGCACACCUGAGGGAUCAUAUGAUUCUUGUUGCUAUCAGAGAGAAAAAUUCAGUAAUGGAUUCCUACUAUGAGCCCUGGCCAACCAAGAACUACAUGAGUGAGCAAUGAGGUCAAUGGGGACAGAGGAGCUGAGGAUGUUGUAUGUAUUAUGAGCACACCUGUGAAAGGCUCAACGUCCUCAAAACUAAAAACCCAUCAGGCAGCAGGAAAACAAAGGAUCUGUUGAAGAUCUGACAACUGAAGUCAACCCCUGAGCCACCUGACAGGAGAAGAAGAAGAAGAAAGAAGAAGAAGAAGAAGAAGAAGGAGAAGGAGAAGGAGAAGGAGAAGGAGAAGGAGAAGGAGAAGGAGAAGGAGAAGGAGAAGGAGAAGGAGAAGAAGAAGAUGGCAGGAGGGGAAGAAUGAAGGGGGGGAAUCGGAGGAGGAGAUAAACCAUGAGAGACGAUGGACUCUGAAAAACAAACUGGGGGUUCUAGAGGGGAGGGGGGUGGGGGGAUUGGUUAGCCUGGUGAUGGAUAUUAAAGAAGGCACGUUCUGCAUGGAGCACUGGGUGUUAUGCACAAACAAUGAAUCAUGGAACACUACAUCAAAAACUGAUGAUGUAAUGUAUGGUGAUUAACAUAACAAUUAAAAAAGAUUUAUAGGGAGCACUCAGUUCUAAUCUCUAUAUUCCAAGUAUACAAAUUGCUCAUGUAAAUGCUAAAAGCCAGGAAAUAAAUUUAACAAAACUUUCAGAGACUGGGAAUAAGACUCUUUGCUCCUACCUUUCAGGGCUCUGUAGUCAGGCUCUGCCAGCCUCGGACAACGCUAUGCCAAGUCCUUUGAUGGUGUAUCUUAGGCCCCUUACCACAAAAGACUCCCCCACCCCCGUAAACAGCUGAUCUUUUUAAUUAUAAAGUCUUUUUAUAUCUACUUUCAAAAGAUCCUCCAAAUUUAGAGAGUAAUUAAAAAGGUUAUUUGACUAUUCACAGCUACCCCUUCACAGAGAAAACAGAGGACCCAAACUUCUCCCAGGCCCUCCUCCAAAUGAUCUGUGAAAGGCCAAUAUUUAGGGGCUAAUACAAGCCAAGGUUAAAUUGUGUACUCAGAAAAUAGGCUUUUGUUAAUGUACUUUAUGCAGACAUUUCAAAAGCAUAAAUCUUGUUUUUAAAAUUUUUAAUUGAAUUCCCCCAGUUAAUUAACAUAUAAUGUAUUGUUGGUUCAGAGGUAUAGGCCUGUGAUUCAUCAGUCUUAUAUAAUACCCAGUCUCAUUAUAUCACAUGCCCUUCUUAAUGUCCAUCACCCAGUUACCCACUCCCCCCACCUCCCUCCCCUCCAGUAACCCUCAGUUUGUUUCCUAUGAUUAAGAAUCUCUUAUGGUUUGUGUCCCUUUCUGGUUUUGUCUUGUUAUAUUUUUUCCUUUCUUCCCCUAUGAUCCUCUGUUUUGUUUCUUAAAUUCCUCAUAUCAGUAUGAUCAUACGAUAAUUGUCUUUCUCUGAUUGAUUUAUUUUGCUUAGCGUGAUACCCUCUAGUUCCAUCCACAUCAUUGCAAAUGGCAAGAUUCCAUUUUUUUGAUGGCUGUGUAAAAUUCCAUAUACCAUUAACAUAUCUCACAUGUUCCCUAUCCAUUCAUCUGUUUUAGGACAUCUGGGCUCGUCCCAUAGUUUGGCUAUUGUGGACGUUGCUCCUCUAAACAUUGGGGUGAAGGUACCCCUUCAGAUCACUACAUUUGUAUCUUGGGGGUAAAUACCCAGUAGUGCAAUUGCUGGGUUGUAAGGUAGCUCUAUUUUCAACUUUUUGAGGACCCUUCAUACUGUUUUCCAGAGUGACUGCACCAGCUUGCAUUCCCACCAACAGUGUAGGAGGGUUCCCUUUUCUCUGCAUCCACCCCAACAUCUGUUGUUUACUGAUUUGUUAAUUUUAGCCAUUCUGACUGGUGUAAGGUGGUAUCUCAUUGAGGUUUUGAUUUGUAUUUCCCUGAUGCUGCGUGAUGUUGAACAUUUUUUCAUGUGUCUGUUGGCCAUUUGGAUGUCUUCUUUGGAGAAAUGUCUGUUCAUGUCUUCUGCCCAUUUCUUGAUUGGAUUAUUUGUUCUUUAAGUGCUGAGUUUCAUAAGUUCUUUAUAGAUCUUCGGUACUAACCCUUUACGUGAUAUGUCAUUUGCAAAUAUCUUCUCCCAUUCUUUCAGUGUCUUUUGGUUUUGUCAACUAUUUCCUUUUCUGUGCAAAAGAUUUUUAUCUUGAUGAAGUCCCAAUAGUUCAUUUUUGCCUUUGCUUGCCUUGCCUUUGAAGACAUGUCUAGCAAGAAGUUGCUGCAGCCGAGGUCUAAGAGGUUGCUGCCUGUGUUGUCCUCUAGGAUUUUGAUGGACUCCUGUCUCACAUUUAGGUCUUUCAAUCAUUUUGGUUCUAUUUUUGUGUAUGGUGUAAGGAAAUGGUGUCUUUUUUUCCAUUGGAUAUUCUUUCCUGCUUUGUCAAAGAUUAGUUGACCAUAGAGUUGAGGGUCCACUUCUGGGUAUUCUAUUCUGUUCCAUUGAUCUAUGUGUUUUUGUGCCAGUACCAUACUGUCUUGAUGAUUACAGCUUUCUAAUAGAGCUUAAAGCCCAGAAUUGUGAUGUCACCAGUUUUGAUUUUCUUUUUCAACAUUCCUUUGGCUAUUCAGGGUCUUUUCUGGUUCCAUACAAAUUUUAGAAUUAUUUGUUCCAGCUCUGUGACAAAUUUGAUGGUAUUUUGAUAAGGAUUGCCUUGAAUGUGUGGAUUGCUCUAGGUAGCAUAGAUAUUUUAACAAUAUUUGUUCUUCCAAUCCAUGAGCAUGGAACGUUUUUCCAUUUCUUUGUGUCUUCCUCAAUGUCUUUUAUGAGUGUUCUGUAGUUUUCUGAGUACAGAUCUUUUGCCUCUUUGGUUAGGUUUAUUCCUAGGUAUCUUAUACUUUGGGGUACAAUUGUAAAUGGGAUCAACUCCUUAAUUUCUCUUCUGUCUCAUUGUUAAUGUAUAAGAAUGCAACUGAUUUCUGUGCAUUGAUUUUCUAUCCUGCCACUUUGCUGAAUUCCUAUAUGAGUUCUAGCAGUCUUUUGGGUUAUCUAGAUAGAGUAUCAUGUCAUCUGCAAAGAGUGAGAGUUUGACUUUUUCUUUGCUGAUUCAGAUGCCUUUUUUUCUUUUUGUUGUGUGAUUGCUGAGGCUAGGACUUCUAGUACUGUGUUGAACAGCAGUGGUGGUAGUGGACAUCUCCACUGUGUUCCUUACCUUAGGGGAAAAGCUCUCAGUUUUUCCCCAUUGAGAACGAUAUUUGCUGUGGGCUUUUCAUAUGUGGCUUUUAUGAUAUUGAGGUAUGUUCCCUGUAUCUCUACACUGUGAAGGGUUUUAAUCUCUUAUAUGGUGGUGUACUUUGUCAAAUGCUUUUUCAGCAUCAAUUGAGAGGAUUAUAUGGCUCUUUUCCUUUCUUUUAUUUAUGUAUUGUAUCACAUUGAUUAAUUUACAGAUCAUGAACCAAACUUGAAGCCCAGGAAUACAUUCUACGUGGUCGUGGUGAAUAAUCUUUUUAAUGUACUGUUGGAUCCUAUUGGCUAGUAUUUUGUUGAGAAUUUUUGCAUCCAUGUUCAUCAGAGAUAUUGGUCUGUAAUUCUCCUUUUUGGUGGUCUUUGUCUGGUUUUGAGAUCAAGUAAUGUUGGCCUCAUAGAAAAAGUUUGGAAGUUUUCCUUACAUUUCUAUUUGAAAUAGUUUCAGAAGAAUAGGUAUCAGUUCUUUAAAUGUUUGGUUGAAUUCCCCAGGGAAGCCAUCCGGCACUGGGCUCUUGUUUUUGGGGAGAUUUUUGAUUACUGCUUCAAUUUCCUUCCUGGUUAUGGGUCUGUUCAGGUUUUCUAUUUCUUCCUGUUUCAAUUUUGGUCAUUUAUACGGCUCUAGGAAUGCAUCUAUUUCUUCCUGAUUGCCUAAUUUCUUGGCAUAUAAUUCCUCAUAAUAUGUUCUUAUAAUUGUUUGUAUGUCUUCGGUGUUGGUUGUGAUCUCUCCUCUUUCAUUCAUGAUUUUGUUGAUUUGGGUCAUUUCUCUUUUCUUUUUGAUAAGUCUGGCCAGGGGUUUAUCAAUGUUAUUUAUUCUUUCAAAGAACCAGCCCCUAGGUUCCUUGAUCUGUUCUACUAUUCUUUUGGUUUCUAUUUCAUUGAUUUCUGCUCUGAUCUUUAUUAUUUCUCUUCUCCUGCUGGGUUUAGGCUUUCUUUGCUGUUCUUUCUCCAGCUCCUUUAGGUGUAGGGUUAAGUUGUGUGUAUGAGACCUUUCUUGUUUCUUGGGAAAGGCUUGCAUAGCUAUAUACUUUCCUCUUAGGACUGCCUUUGCUGCAUCCCAAAGAUUUUGAAGAGUUGUGUUUUCAUUUUCAUUUGUUUCCAUGAAUUUUUUUAAUUCUUCUUUAAUUUCCUGGUUGACCCAUUCAUUCUUAGUAGGAUGCUCUUUAACCUCCAUGUAUUUGAGUUCUUUUCAACUUUCCUCUUGUGAUUGAGUUCUAGUUUCAAAGCAUUGUGGUCCAAAAAUAUGCAGGGAAUGAUCCCAAUCUUUUGGUACCAGUUGAGACCUGAUUUGUGACCUAGGAUGUGAUCUAUUCUGGAGAAUGUUCCAUGGGCACUAGAGAAGAAUGUGUAUUCUGUUGCUUUGGGAUGGAAUGUUCUGAAUAUAUCUAUGAAGUCCAUUUGGUCCAGUGUGUCACUUAAAGCCUUUAUUUCCUUGUUGAUCUUUUGCUUAGAUGAUCUGUCCAUUUUAGUGAGGGGAGUGUUGAAUACUAUUAUUGUAUUGUUGUCAAUGCAUUUCUUUGAUUUUGUUAUUAAUUGGCUUAUAUUAUUGGAUGCUCACAUGUUAGGGGCAUAAAUAUUUACAAUUGUUAGAUCUUGUUGGGUAGACCCUUCAAGUAUGAUGUAGUGUCCUUCUGCAUCUCUUAUUAUAGUCCUUGGUUUAAAAUCUAAUUUGUCUGAUAUAAGGAUUGCCACCCCUGCUUUCUUUUGAUGUCCAUUAGCAUGGUAAAUUGUUUUCCACCCCCUCACUUUAAAUCUGGACGUGUCUUUUGGUCUAAAAUGAGUCUCUUGCAGGCAGCAUAUCGAUGGGUCUUGUUUUUUUAUCUAAUCUGAUACCCUGUGUCUUUUGAUUGGGGCAUUUACCCCACUUACAUUCAGGGUAACUAUUGAAAGAUAUGAACUUAGUGCUAUUGUAUUGCCUGUAAGGUGACUGUUACUGUAUAUUCUCUGUGUUCCUUUCUGGUCUAUGUUACUUUUAGGUUCUUUUUGCUUAGAGGACUCCCUUCAAUAUUUCUUGUAGGGUUGGUUUGGUGCUGCAAAUUCUUUUAGUUUUUGUUUGUCCUGGAAGCUUUUUAUCUCCCUUCUAUUUUCAGUGACAGCCUAGCUGGAUAUAGUAUUCUUGGUGGCAUGUUUUUCCUGUUUAGUGCUCUGAAUAUAUCAUACCAGUCCUUUCUGGCCUGCCAGGUCUCUGUGGAUAAGUCUGCUACCACUCUAAUCUUUCUACCAUUGUAGGUUACAGACCUUUUGUCCCGAGCUGCUUUCAGGAUUUUCUCUUUGUCUGUGAGACUUGUAAGUUUUACUAUUAGAUGUUGGGAUGUUGACCUAUUUCUGUUGAUUUAGAUGGGAGGUUCUCAGGACCUCCCGGAGUUUCAUGCCUGUUUCCUUCCCCAAAUUAGGGAAGUUCUCUGCUAUAAUUUGCUCCAGUAUACCUUCUGCCGCUCUCUCUCUUUCUUCUUCUUGUGGGAUCCCAAUUAUUCUAAUGUUGUUUCGUCUUAUGGUGUCACUUAUCUCUUGAAUUCUCCCCUCAUGAUCCAGUAGUUGUUUAUCUCUUGUUUUCUCAGCUUCUUUAUUCUGCAUCAUUUGGUCUUCUUUGUCACUAAUUCUCUCUUCUGCCUCAUUUAUCCUAGCAGUUAGAGCCUCCAUUUUUUUAUUGCACCUCAUUAAUAGCCUUUUUGAUUUCAACUUGGUUAGAUUUUAGUUCUUUUAUUUCUCCAGAAAGGAAUUCUUUAGUGUCUUCUAUGCAUUUUUUUCAAGCCCAGCUAAUAUCUUUAUAAUCGUCAUUCUGAACUCUAGUUCCAACAUCUUACUAAUGUCUGUAUUGAUUAGGUCCCUGGCAGUCAGUACUGCCUCUUGUUCUCUUUUUUGAGGUGAGUUUUUCUCUCUUAUCGUUCUGUCCAGAGAAGAAUAGAUGAAUGAGAGAACAAAAUACUAAAAUGACAACAACUACCUUAGAGCAAUAUACAGUAAAAAAUCAGAUGAGACCCAAAUGGGGGUGGGGGGGAAGAGAGAGAGAAUAUAAUCAGACAGGCGAGCAGAAUAGAGCAAUACACUGGAUUCUGUGUGUAUUUUCAUCUGCUUUUUAGAAAACUAGAUCCCAAAAUUGUAAAGAAAGAAAACCUUAUAUAUGUACAAACAUUAAAUACAAGGAAAGGAUAGUAUGUAGCUGUAAAAAUGGAAAUUAAAAGUGAAGAAAAAAGAGGGGCACCUGGGUGGCUCAGUCAUUAAGCAUCUGCCUUUGGCUUAGGUCAUGAUCCCAGGGUUCUGCGAUCGAGCCCCACAUUGGACUCCCUGCUCUGUGGGAAGCCUGCUUCUCCCUCUCCCACACCCCCUGCUUGUGUUCCCUCUCUCACUGCCUCUUUCUCUGUCAAAGAAUAAAUAAAAUCCUUAAAAAAAAGUGAAGAAAAAAGAGAAUAAAAAAAGAAAAACCAACAACAACAAAAAAAGGAAAGAAUAAACAGACAGGUGAACAGAACAGAGCAAUGCACUAUCUCCUGAGUGUAUUUUGGUCAGUUUGCUAGAAGAAACUGCAUCUCAAAAUUGUAAAGAAAGGAAAACAUAUAUAUACAAAAAUUAAAUUAAGUAAAUUGAAAGGAUAGAAUGUAACUGUAAAGAUGAAAAUUUAAAAAAUACUUUAACAAAACAAAAAACAAAAACAAAAAGAGAAAGGAAGAAGAAAAAGAAAAAAAAAAAGGAAAAAUGACAACAAAAAAGAGAAUAUGAUCAGACAGGUAAGUAAAACAGAGCCAUACAGUAGAUUUUGUUUGUAUUUUGGUCUGUUAGAAGAAACUGCACCCCAAAAUUGUAAAGAAAACAAAACUUGCGUGUGUGUGUGUGUAUAUAUAUAUAUGAUUAAAUAUAUUGAAGGGAUAGAGUGUAACUGUAAAAAUGAAAACUAAAAAAUAUUUAAAAAAGGAGUUGAUAAAAUAAGAAAUUGGUUGAAAAGGGAACGAAAAAAAUAAAGAAUCAUGGGGAAAAAGUUGUGAUUUCUAUGUGCUGUAUUCCCCUAGCACUGGAGUUUUGCAGUUCUGUCUUGGCUGGAUGUUCUUGCUGACCUUUUGGGGGAGGGGCCUGUUUCAUCGAUUCUCAAGGAUAUUUGCCCUGGGUGGAAUUGUACUGCCCUUGCCAGGGGCCAAGCUAAAUAAUCUGCUUCAGUUUGUUCUAUGUGGUUUUGUUCCCUGGAGGCAUUCCUUGCAGCUUUAGAGGAUGAGAAUGAAAAUGGCGGCCUCCCAAUCUCUGGCCCCAGAUUUGAAAGCUCGGGGCCCCACUCUUCAGUGAGCCUUCAGAGAAAAGUAGUCAAUCACUCCUGUCUCCCUGGUCUCCGGGUGCACUCCGUGCUCACCUGGCCUGUGAUAGAGCAUUUCUAUCUCAGGCAUGCAACCCAGUUUUGAGUCUUCAAACCCUUCAGAUUCCUGUAACACAUUCUUGUACUGCUCGUCCUGGGGGAGGAAGGGGGGGUCUCAUUGGUUCUGUUGCUUGUUAGGCCUGUGCUUGGAGAGCAGUCACCCAACUGUGCCAUGGUUUGUGGUUUUUGUUAACCCUGAGCUGAGAGCCCAUUCCUGGGCUCACUCUUUUCAUCCAGCUUCCCUGUUCCGAUCCCUGGGAACUCUGCGGCACUGAGGUACCCCUGGUCUUCCUGUGACCCUGGGGAUCCUGGGACCACAUUGUCCCAGGGAGGGUUCCACCCCCGCUUAGCAGCCUGAGCGAUGUCCCUCACAGGGGCAGACUUCCAAAAGUUCUGAUUUUGUGCUCCGCUGUUCUAUUACUUGCUGGUAGCCGGCUAACAGAGGCUCCCUCCCACCACACUCUAUCUUCCCAUAUAUCGCCUCGGAUUCAUUUCUCCACACUUCCUACCUUGCUGAAAGUGGUCACUUUUAUAUUCAUAGUGUUGAAGCUAUUCUUUUCUUAGAUCUCUGGUUGAGUUUGCAGGUGUUAAGAAUGAUUUGAUAGCUAUCUAGCUGAAUUCCUGGGACCACAAGGAGAUAUCACCCCAUACCUGUCAGAAUGGCUAAUAUCAAAAAUACAAGAAUCAAUAAUUGUUGCUGAGGAUUGAAAAAGGACCCAUCAUACACCAUUGUUGAGAAUACAAACUGGUGCAGCCACUGUGGAAAACAGUAUGGAGGUUCCUCAAAAAAUUAAAAAUAAAAUUAUGAGGGGCACCUGGCUGGCUCAUCAGUGCAGCAUGAGACUCUUGACCUUGGGGUUGUGAGUUCAAGGCACAGGUUGGGUGUAGAGAUUACUUAAAAAUAAAAUCUCAAGAAAUAAAAUAAAAUUAUGAUAUCAUCCAGUAAUUCCACUACUGGCUAUUUACCCAAAGAAUAUGAAAACACUAAAUCACAAAGAUGUAUUCACCCCUAUGUUUACCACAGCAUUACUUACGAUAACCAAAUUAUGGAAGCAACCCAAGUGUCUAUUGAGAGAUGAAUGGAUAAAGGAUAAGUGGUAUAUAUAUAAAAUGGAAUAUUACUCAACCAUAAAAGAAUGAAAUCUUGUCAUUUGCAACAACAUGGAUGGAUCCAAAGGUAUAUUGCUAAGUGAAAUAAGCCAGUCAGAGAAAGACAGAUACCAUAUGAUUUCAUUCAUAUGUGGAUAUUAAGAAACAAAACAAAUGAGCAAAGAAAAAAGGGAGCAAACAAAAAACCAGACUUUUAAAUAUAGAGAACAAACUGGUGGUUACCAGAGGGGAGGUGGAUAGGGGGAUGAACGAAAUAGGUGAAGGGGAUUAAGAGUACACUUAUCAUGAUGAGCACUGAGGGAUAUAUAGAAUUGUUGAAUCACUAUAUUGUACACCUGUAACUAAUAUAUCACUGUAUGUUAACUAUUGUGGAAUUCAAACUAAAAAAAUAAUAACAUGGGACUGAGUAAACUAAGGAAGAUAAUGAUAAUUUUAUGACUUUUUGUUUAAAUCAUUGCAGACUCAAAAAACCUUUGUUUUUCCAGAUUUAAGAAAGUUUUAUCUGAAGCUAACUGAUUUACAGCAAUUUGACAAAUAAACCUUUGUGAAUACAUAUAAACAUUUAUCUUUUCUCCUUACCGGAUCCCUCCAAACUUCAGAAACUCUCAGUAAAUAUGCUUAUAUUUUUUAUGGCAAUGUAUUUCUUAUUUCAAAAAAGAACAUGUUCUCCUUGUAACAGGACACAGUUUGCUGGAAUGUCACAUUUGAGAGAGACACACAUAGACUCAGAUAUGACCAGAUAGCUUUAAGAAAUAAGGCUGACCUUAUGAAGCCAACAAAGCCCUUGGAAAUAUCAGCCUCAUACCUUGUUUACAGGGAUCCCAGCAGACUCACCAGAGAGUAAAGAAGGUCACUCCUGGCAGGUGCAGGAACCUCAAGAUAUUUUGAGAACCUCAAGAAGGGAGGAAUUCACCCAAAUAUAUGGGUAUCAAAGAGGAAGUCUGAUGGCAAGUAUUUGGCCUUAAGAGGCUAUGAAACAUUUAAUCUAGAUAUUCCUUAUAAAAGUUCUAGCAAAGCAGGUUUUAAGGAACAUAUAUGGUCAACUACUAUUCUUGUUGGAGUUAUGUAAAUCAUCAGCCUGUUUUUUUUUUUUUAAUUAGACUUAUUUUACAAACACUUGGGUAUUAAUUUGGCUAUCUUUGGUAAAAAUAAGGGCAAUUAUAAAGAAAAAUAUGCUUCAAUAACACACCUUUGUAAAUAUUAUAUUUUAAUAUUGAUCAUUAUAAACUGGACUAGAUCCUGCAUUCUCCUAGUGUCCCCCAGUGCCUGGCUACAACACUUCAAGAUAACAUUUUUUAAUUGUUCUCUCCCUUUCUGACAAUUGGAAUCAUUUGAUACACCAAACGUCCCCUUUUUCCUGAAGCCCUGCAAAAUGAAUAGAAAUGACUUGAUGUAAACUUCAGAGAAAUCCCCACAAAAGUUCAUGUAUAGACAAUUUUCCUGCUUGUUGCUCUGUGGGCCCCUCAAAAAGAUCACUAGACCACUACUGGCUAGAGACAACUGAACUGAAACUAGGGAAAUCCAUCACAUUGCCACCGCAUGCCCUAUGCCAUCUGAAGAUGCCUCCAGCCCAACAUCAAGAAAUCUCACUGGCAGCACUCCGGACUUAGACACUGGGUUUAGGAUUAGCUCCAACCAUUCACCUACACUUUUCCUUGGUUUCCAUAAGAAAUGCCGCUUCUCAAUUACCAUAGGGCUUAAUUGUGAGAGCCCACCUGCAUCACUGCCUCCUGAAAUAAGCUUAACCGAACGACCUAUUGUCAGAUUAAGAGACAGGUUCCCCAAGAGGGAACGAUCUACUGUGGUGAAUGGGUUAGUGAAUCAUAUAAAAAAUAUAAGAAUACUUAUGGAGAGUUUCUGAGUUUGGAGGGAAUCCAGUAGGGAAAAAAGAUAAAAGUUUUAAUUUGUUUACAAAUGUGUAUUGCUCUAAGUCAGUUAGUUUCAUAUAAACAAUUUUCUUAAAUCUGGAAAAACAAAAUAUUUUUAAGUCUGCAAUGUUUUAAACAAAAAGUCAUAAAAAUGGUCAUCAUCUUCCUUAGUUUAUUAGUCGCAUGUCAUUAAUUCUUCUGCUAGAAGCCAGUGUUCCCACAAGCUCCGGGAAUUCUUACCUAGCUCAGUUCUAUGAUCUUAAAGUCAUCAGAAUCUGCACUCAGAACUCUUUCUGCUCAUGGCCUCUGAUGGCUCAGAAUCCCUUGCUGUGCCUCUCACUGAAGACUGUCUCUUACUGUCUCCACUGCUCAAGGCCCUACCGGAGUGAAGCGGGGUGUCAGCAGCAUCCCCAGUGCACGGAGCAAAAGGACAAAGGACCCAGUGCACCUGCGCCCAUGGACUCUCAGUGUGGGACCUGAGAAAGUUGGUCUCUCCCUGUCUGUCUGUGUAUCUCUGUCCCUGACUCUCAUCCCCACCUCCUUCCUCUGUCAGCUGAGCCUAUGUCCACACUCCUGGUGGGGAAGGGCACAGGCUCACUCUACCCAUGACUUUGGUCUGUAGCUCAGGUGUGCUGUGUAAUUACUAGGUCUUAUAAGUAGAAAACCUUUAUUUUCCAAAGUUUCCUGUGUUGUUCCUGAAAGGUGUCUUGCAGUCAUAAUAACAACCACAAGGGUGGGUCUAACAUUGCUUAUGGAGCGGCUGAGACCUGCACAAAACAUGAACGUUCCUGAAGGGAGAAUGCUGGUUCCUGCCAUCUGUGACCAUUGACUUCAUUGUUCAAUUGCAGUGUGUGGCCCAGAAACAUCACAUUACUGACCACUCACCCCAUGGGACACAGAUCAAUCAACUGGAGUAUAGGGCUCAUGCGUGGUUUUCUUUGUCUCUGGACUUACAGGCUCCCCUCCUUUUCAAAGUCCCUGGGGUCAGCACCUUUCUGCCCCACCCCUUCAGUGAGGUGGGUCCAAACCUCUGUAGAGCAGCAGAUGGGAUAAUGUCACACUGUGCACUCCAUCAUGGACCCCAGACUUCCUAGAUGACUUUAUAGGCAUGCAGUAAUGUGCUAUCCCUUUGCUGUAGCGUUUACCGACCUGUGGCAACACAGCAGUGUGCUGUGACUGCCUUCACAGUGUCCUGUACAAGAGUGACACCACCAUAAAUAUAAUCACUAUGAUUCACACAUUCACCCUCCUCCUCCUCCCUCCACCUCCUGUCAGUCACUAACCUCAUUACCACCUCUCAAUUCUGGCCUCUUCCAAAAUGUAAUACAAUUGCAAUUUUAUGGAAUGCAGCCUUUUAGAGCUUCUUCUUUCCUAAUAUGCAUUAAAAAUUUAUUUAUAUUACUGUGA